GGUCUCGGUGGAGUUGGGAAGA
rnacentral:miRNA from 1 species